rnacentral:rRNA from 1 species
CCCGGCACGGGGAGGUAGUGACGAAAAAUAACAAUACGGGACUCUUUUGAGACCCCGUAAUUGGAAUGAGUACACUCUAAAUCCUUUAACGAGGAUCUAUUGGAGGGCAAGUCUGGUGCCAGCAGCCGCGGUAAUUCCAGCUCCAAUAGCGUAUAUUAAAGUUGUUGCGGUUAAAAAGCUCGUAGUUGGAUCUCAGUUCCAGACGGGCGGUCCGCCUAACGGUGGUUACUGCCUGGCCUGAACAGCCAGCCGGUUUCCCUAGAUGAUCUUCACCGGUUGUCUUGGGUGACCGGCACGUUUACUUUGAAAAAAUUAGAGUGCUCAAAGCAGGCGUGUAGCCUGAAUAAUGGUGCAUGGAAUAAUGGAAUAGGACUUCGUUUCUAUUUUGUUGGUUUUCGGAACACGAGGUAAUGAUUAAGAGGGACAGACGGGGGCAUUCGUAUUGCGACGCUAGAGGUGAAAUUCUUGGACCGUCGCAAGACGAACU